rnacentral:rRNA from 2 species
GUCUGCAACUCGACUCCAUGAAGUCGGAAUCGCUAGUAAUCGUGGAUCAGAAUGCCACGGUGAAUACGUUCCCGGGCCUUGUACACACCGCCCGUCACACCAUGGGAGUGGGUUGCAAAAGAAGUAGGUAGCUUAACCUUCGGGAGGGCGCUUACCACUUUGUGAUUCAUGACUGGGGUGAAGUCGUAACAAGGUAACCGUAGGGGAACCUGCGGUUGGAUCACCUCCUUACCUGAAAGAAGC